AUUUAAAUGAUGAACAUUUAACAUCUGAAUAUAUUUGAUGUUUUCAAUACGAGCUUUUUAACACUGAAAUUA